UAACUGUAAGACACAUUGAUGCAUCUGACAGCUUCCAAAGGCUUGGAAAGUAGGUUAAUGAUGCAGCUAUAGACAACCCCAUCUUAUGCAUGUUAUGAGAAGUUAAAAGUGUUUAACAACUACUCAAGGCUUUUUCUUUGCAAGAAGGGAUAUUGAUAGAGGGAAGGAGAUCAGAUAUGACUAUGGUGAUCCCAUGCCCAAUGGACAAUCUUCCUUGGAGUUUAUCACUCAUCAGGAAGCAUUUUGGAGGCAAACCCUGUUGCAGCAUUUCUACAUGUUCCACAGAUUGUACAGACUAGUCAGGAC